UUUAGGAAAGUUAAUUAAUACAAAUUUGGUUAUUCGACAAUAUCGGUUCCUUAUUGGGGGUUCAAUACAAAUUUAAUCGCAUGUAGGCACUGUUUUCCUUAACAAAGCUUAUCUGAAACAUAUAUAUAGGAGACACGAUUGCACAAUUGUGUUGUUAUUGAGCCGAGAAACCAGGGAAGAAAGUGAGUUACUUUGCUUCCAUCGAUUGAGGAUGAUUAAUAGAGCAAGUUUGCUGCCAUCAAUGUUGGGAUGAAUCAAUGAGAUUAAUGGUUGUUUUUGAGAAUUUGCAAAUGUUUAGAAAUGUGGAUUGUGUACGAAUUCGUCUUUUUCAGGGAAGGAGAACAAAUAAGGAACACGAAGAGUACCUAUAUUGUCUUCCCAAUCAACAUCGAAAUGCACAUAAACUGUUUGUGUAAAUGCAUGAAUGACCAGAUUAGCUGCAGCUUUUGUUUUUCACUGAACCGAGCUGUUACUGGCAGUUAACCAUGAUCAAAAUGAAGAUGAACCCUCACUUCCCCCUUCACGGAAGAAGGGACUUGUUGCAUUUAGGGCUUAUAGAACCUGUAAAUCCGGAGAAAUAAAAAGAGAUCUGAAAUUUCCUGGUAUUUCAGUUCUCUUGCCUCAAUUGUGUUCGAAUUUUUUUACAUACAUGUUUCCGGAGGGUCUAAUAUAGAUGAGUCGCAAAGUUACAGUUGAGUAUCAAAAACAGCAAUUAUACAAUGUGUUUUGAACUAUUUGUUGCCGGAGACCGCCUACUCCUGCUUCUUCACGCGAAAACUGUGACAGUAAUGGAGACAUGUACUUGGAAACUCAAUAUCCUACCUCGAAUUGCACUUACUGUACAGAUUGGUGUAGAGACAAAUAUUCAGAUCUUGGGGAUAAAGUGGUUAGUGAUAAGUGCUCACUAAUUGGUGAAUCUAAAUCCAUAAUGGGAUACAAAUAUUGUUGUAAUGAGAAUCUAAAUUUCUUUUUCCAUAAAAAUUCUUUUCGACUCAAUUAGUUCAUGAGAUCAAGGAAAAAUCUAUGCAUGUCGAUGCGUAUUGUUGCUCG